GCGGUUAUACUAAGAAAUCUAGUUAUAUUAUUUGGUAAAAAGAUAGUUAGGUAGAAAUAUGUGUUAGAGUUUUAAUUAUAAUAUAUWACUAAGGUAAAAUUUAGAAWGAUUUUAUUUUUAUAUAAACUUGAUUUGUUGAUGCUAUGAAUGUUUUUAAAGAAACUAGGAUUAGAUACCCUAUUAUUUUAAAUUAUAAAUUGAUUUUUUUUUCUACCAAAGUAUUAUGAAUAGUAAGUUUAAAAUUUAAAGGACUUGGCGGUGUCUUAGACUACUUAGGGGAACCUGUUUUUUAAUCGAUAGUCCUCGUUUUACCUUACCUUUUCUUGUUUUCAGUUUGUAUACCGUCGUCGUCAGUUAACUUUAGAGAAAAUUGAAGUUGUCUUUUUAAAUUUUAUUUUAGAUGUCARAUCAAGGUGCAGCUUAUGAAUAGGUUAAUAUGGGUUACAAUUAUUUAAUUAUAAUAUGGAAGUUUAUAUGAAACUAUUUUUUGAAGGAGGACUUAAAAGUAAUUUAAUUUAGAUAUAUUAAAUGAAUAUAGCUCUUGGAUGUGUACACAUCNCCCGGUCAC
rnacentral:rRNA from 1 species